AAAGGACUUAUCCGAGCCCUGAGCUCCCUAAUACAGUUACACAAAUAUUUACUGAUCAACAGACUGUGUGUCGAGCACAAGAGCUGAAUAUCUACCGCAGAUGUCAUGGUCAUACAAUGCGGACGAAACAUCAUUCAUGUCCAAUUGAAGAGGAAACACCACAGACCGAAAUAAUACAAGCAUCUAAUGUCAACCUCAUUAUAUCUGUUAUCGAGACAACACAGAAAGGGAUCAAACUUAAUGACGCCCAUCAACAUUUGCUAACAACACUUUCUGAAAUAACAGAUAGCAAAGGCACGUGGGUUAUCAGCUUUAGUACUAAAGACGAAGCCUGUGAGUUCAAGGAGGUAAAACAAAGCAGUUUUAGUCCCAACAAGAAACCAAUUUUCGAUUUUGAAGAGACGUUUGGUGCUGGCAUUCUUGGACUGG